rnacentral:tRNA from 1 species
GUAUAGUUCAGUGGUUAAAGUGCGUGCCUCGCAAGCACAAGGUCCUGGGUUCAAUCCCCAGUAC